rnacentral:rRNA from 1 species
UACGGAGGGUGCAAGCGUUGUCCGGAAUCACUGGGCGUAAAGGGCGCGUAGGCGGCUCAUGAAGGCUGUGGUGAAAGUCCGGGGCUCAACCUCGGAUCGGCCGUGGCGACUCGUGGGCUGGAGCACUGUAGAGGCGGGUGGAAUUCCGGGUGUAGCGGUGGAAUGCGUAGAGAUCCGGAAGAACACCAGUGGCGAAGGCGGCCCGCGUGGGCAGUGGCUGACGCUGAGGCGCGACAGCGUGGGGAGCGAACAGG